AUUUGUGUCCUGCUGCUCCUGCUAUAGAACUUCCAACAUCUCCUGCUUCAUCCUCAACAGUUUCUGCCUCUCCUUGCUCACCAGGCUGCAGCCAUUCUGGAUUGUCGCCUUCUCUUCCUUGAGCCAUUACUUCUGCACCUGAAGGUAAUUAUCCAUGUUUUUCUCCAAAGCCGACUUCAGGCAGCUGCGGCAGGUGGUUGUUGUUGUUGUUAAUUGUUGUUAUGUCAUCUUUGGCCUCCCAGGCUUUGAUCAUUUACCCUUCAUAGUACUGCACCAGGGUUGACAUGCUACUUUUUAUGUACUGUUCUUUAUGCUGCUGUUUUUUGUGCUAUUGGUUUUUAUGCUGUUGGAAGCCACUUUUGCAGCAUCUCCUUCUUCUCUGGAUGAGACUUCAGGAGGUCUUUGGCCCCUCUAAAAGAAGAAAAAGUUCAUUCUUGAACUGGUGUCCAGCCAGAUUAUGUUUCUAUCAUCGAGUUCAUAAAGGGGAGAGAAAUACAUCAUCAAAGAACCUUGGAAUUAAUGACUGUAACUCCUACACAUGAAGAUUAAAUGCUUAUUAAAGGAUUUGUUAGGCAUCUCCUGAUGGCAUUUAUGGUAUUUUAAAUCAAAUUCAAAUAAAACUUCAUGAAAUUUC